AAACGACUUUCGGCAACGGAUAUCUCGGCUCUCGCAUCGAUGAAGAACGUAGCGAAAUGCGAUACUUGGUGUGAAUUGCAGAAUCCCGUGAACCAUCGAGUCUUUGAACGCAAGUUGCGCCCGAAGCCACUAGGCCGAGGGCACGUCUGCCUGGGUGUCACGC
rnacentral:rRNA from 1 species